rnacentral:rRNA from 1 species
UCCUACGGGWGGCRGCAGUGGGGAAUAUUGGACAAUGGGCGAAAGCCUGAUCCAGCCAUGCCGCGUGUGUGAAGAAGGUCUUCGGAUUGUAAAGCACUUUAAGUUGGGAGGAAGGGCAGUAAGUUAAUACCUUGCUGUUUGACGUACCAACAGAUASC